rnacentral:rRNA from 1 species
GAUAAACGCUGGCGGCGUGCUUAACACAUGCAAGUCGAACGAGAACUACAUUGACAAGAAGCUUGCUUCAAGGAUAUAUAGUUCGAGUGGCGGACGGGUGAGUAACGCGUGAGUAACCUGCCGUAUACCGGGGGACAACAGAGGGAAACUUCUGCUAAUACCGCAUAAGCGCACAGCAUCACAUGAUGCAGUGUGAAAAACUCCGGUGGUAUACGAUGGACUCGCGUCUGAUUAGCCAGUUGGUGAGGUAACGGCUCACCAAAGCAACGAUCAGUAGCCGGCCUGAGAGGGUGAACGGCCACAUUGGGACUGAGACACGGCCCAGACUCCUACGGGAGGCAGCAGUGGGGAAUAUUGCACAAUGGAGGAAACUCUGAUGCAGCGACGCCGCGUGAGUGAAGAAGUAUUUCGGUAUGUAAAGCUCUAUCAGCAGGGAAGAAAGAAAUGACGGUACCUGACUAAGAAGCCCCGGCUAACUACGUG